GGUUAAGCGACUAAGCGUACACGGUGGAUGCCCUGGCAGUCAGAGGCGAUGAAGGACGUGCUAAUCUGCGAAAAGCGUCGGUAAGGUGAUAUGAACCGUUAUAACCGGCGAUGUCCGAAUGGGGAAACCCAGUGCAAUUCGUUGCACUAUCGUUAACUGAAUACAUAGGUUAACGAGGCGAACCGGGGGAACUGAAACAUCUAAGUACCCCGAGGAAAAGAAAUCAACCGAGAUUCCCCCAGUAGCGGCGAGCGAACGGGGAGCAGCCCAGAGUCUGAAUCAGCUUGUGUGUUAGUGGAACGGUCUGGAAAGUCCGACGGUACAGGGUGAUAGUCCCGUACACCAAAAUGCACAGGUUGUGAACUCGAAGAGUAGGGCGGGACACGUGGUAUCCUGUCUGAAUAUGGGGGGACCAUCCUCCAAGGCUAAAUACUCCUGACUGACCGAUAGUGAACCAGUACCGUGAGGGAAAGGCGAAAAGAACCCCGGCGAGGGGAGUGAAAAAGAACCUGAAACCGUGUACGUACAAGCAGUGGGAGCACCUUCGGGUGUGACUGCGUACCUUUUGUAUAAUGGGUCAGCGACUUAUAUUCUGUAGCAAGGUUAACCGUAUAGGGGAGCCGCAGGGAAACCGAGUCUUAACUGGGCGUUAAGUUGCAGGGUAUAGACCCGAAACCCGGUGAUCUAGCCAUGGGCAGGUUGAAGGUUGGGUAACACUAACUGGAGGACCGAACCGACUAAUGUUGAAAAAUUAGCGGAUGACUUGUGGCUGGGGGUGAAAGGCCAAUCAAACCGGGAGAUAGCUGGUUCUCCCCGAAAGCUAUUUAGGUAGCGCCUCGUGAAUUCAUCUUCGGGGGUAGAGCACUGUUUCGGCUAGGGGGUCAUCCCGACUUACCAACCCGAUGCAAACUACGAAUACCGAAGAAUGUUAUCACGGGAGACACACGGCGGGUGCUAACGUCCGUCGUGAAGAGGGAAACAACCCAGACCGCCAGCUAAGGUCCCAAAGUCAUGGUUAAGUGGGAAACGAUGUGGGAAGGCACAGACAGCCAGGAUGUUGGCUUAGAAGCAGCCAUCAUUUAAAGAAAGCGUAAUAGCUCACUGGUCGAGUCGGCCUGCGCGGAAGAUGUAACGGGGCUAAACCAUGCACCGAAGCUGCGGCAGCGACACUAUGUGUUGUUGGGUAGGGGAGCGUUCUGUAAGCCUGCGAAGGUGUGCUGUGAGGCAUGCUGGAGGUAUCAGAAGUGCGAAUGCUGACAUAAGUAACGAUAAAGCGGGUGAAAAGCCCGCUCGCCGGAAGACCAAGGGUUCCUGUCCAACGUUAAUCGGGGCAGGGUGAGUCGACCCCUAAGGCGAGGCCGAAAGGCGUAGUCGAUGGGAAACAGGUUAAUAUUCCUGUACUUGGUGUUACUGCGAAGGGGGGACGGAGAAGGCUAUGUUAGCCGGGCGACGGUUGUCCCGGUUUAAGCAUGUAGGCUGGUUAUCCAGGCAAAUCCGGAUAAUCAAGGCUGAGGUGUGAUGACGAGGCACUACGGUGCUGAAGUAACAAAUGCCCUGCUUCCAGGAAAAGCCUCUAAGCAUCAGGUAACAUUAAAUCGUACCCCAAACCGACACAGGUGGUCAGGUAGAGAAUACCAAGGCGCUUGAGAGAACUCGGGUGAAGGAACUAGGCAAAAUGGUGCCGUAACUUCGGGAGAAGGCACGCUGGUGUGUAGGUGAAGUCCCUGCGGAUGGAGCUGAGACCAGUCGAAGAUACCAGCUGGCUGCAACUGUUUAUUAAAAACACAGCACUGUGCAAACACGAAAGUGGACGUAUACGGUGUGACGCCUGCCCGGUGCCGGAAGGUUAAUUGAUGGGGUUAUCCGUAAGGAGAAGCUCUUGAUCGAAGCCCCGGUAAACGGCGGCCGUAACUAUAACGGUCCUAAGGUAGCGAAAUUCCUUGUCGGGUAAGUUCCGACCUGCACGAAUGGCGUAAUGAUGGCCAGGCUGUCUCCACCCGAGACUCAGUGAAAUUGAACUCGCUGUGAAGAUGCAGUGUACCCGCGGCAAGACGGAAAGACCCCGUGAACCUUUACUAUAGCUUGACACUGAACAUUGAGCCUUGAUGUGUAGGAUAGGUGGGAGGCUUUGAAGCGUGGACGCCAGUCUGCGUGGAGCCAACCUUGAAAUACCACCCUUUAAUGUUUGAUGUUCUAACGUUGGCCCCUGACCGGGGUUGCGGACAGUGUCUGGUGGGUAGUUUGACUGGGGCGGUCUCCUCCCAAAGCGUAACGGAGGAGCACGAAGGUUAGCUAAUCCUGGUCGGACAUCAGGAGGUUAGUGCAAUGGCAUAAGCUAGCUUGACUGCGAGCGUGACGGCGCGAGCAGGUGCGAAAGCAGGUCAUAGUGAUCCGGUGGUUCUGAAUGGAAGGGCCAUCGCUCAACGGAUAAAAGGUACUCCGGGGAUAACAGGCUGAUACCGCCCAAGAGUUCAUAUCGACGGCGGUGUUUGGCACCUCGAUGUCGGCUCAUCACAUCCUGGGGCUGAAGUAGGUCCCAAGGGUAUGGCUGUUCGCCAUUUAAAGUGGUACGCGAGCUGGGUUUAGAACGUCGUGAGACAGUUCGGUCCCUAUCUGCCGUGGGCGCUGGAGAAUUGAGGGGGGCUGCUCCUAGUACGAGAGGACCGGAGUGGACGCAUCACUGGUGUUCGGGUUGUCAUGCCAAUGGCACUGCCCGGUAGCUAAAUGCGGAAGAGAUAAGUGCUGAAAGCAUCUAAGCACGAAACUUGCCCCGAGAUGAGUUCUCCCUGAGACUUUAAGUCUCCUGAAGGAACGUUAAAGACGAUGACGUUGAUAGGCCGGGUGUGUAAGCGCAGCGAUGCGUUGAGCUAACCGGUACUAAUGAACCGUGAGGCUUAACCUU
rnacentral:rRNA from 1 species